rnacentral:rRNA from 1 species
CGUGUAGGCGGGUUGUUAAGUCCGCUGUGAAAGCCCGGUGCUCAACGCCGGAGGGUCGGUGGAUACUGGCAGUCUUGAAGUGGCUAGGGGGAAAUGGAAUUACCGGUGUAGCGGUGAAAUGCGUAGAUAUCGGUAGGAACACCAGUGGCGAAGGCGGUUUCCUGGAGCUAACUUGACGCUGAGACGCGAAAGCUGGGGGAGCAAACG